AAUAGCAAUACCUCAACAAGGAUAGAGCAUCCCGAUCAAAAAUCGGGACGGUCAAAGGUUCGAAUCCUUUCGCGAUCAC
rnacentral:tRNA from 1 species